rnacentral:rRNA from 1 species
GGAUUAGAUACCCUGGUAGUCCACGCCGUAAACGAUGUCUACUAGCAGCUCGUCUCGUUUAGAGAGGUUUUGCGCAGCUAACGCGUUAAGUAGACCGCCUGGGGAGUACGGCCGCAAGGUUAAAACUCAAAUGAAUUGACGGGGGCCCGCACAAGCGGUGGAGCAUGUGGUUUAAUUCGAUGCAACGCGAAGAACCUUACCAUCCCUUGACAUCCAGAGAAGUUUCUAGAGAUAGAUUCGUGCCUUCGGGAACUCUGAGACAGGUGCUGCAUGGCUGUCGUCAGCUCGUGCCG